GCUGGAAUGCAUCGAGCUUAAAAGCUCCGGCGCUCAAGGAUGGGUCUGCGGCCUAUCAGGUAGUAGUGGGUGUAGCGUACCUACUAGCCUACGACGGGUACGGGUUGUGAGAGCAAGAGCCCGGAGAUGGAUUCUGAGACACGAAUCCAGGCCCUACGGGGUGCAGCAGGCGCGAAAACUUUACAAUGCUGGAAACAGCGAUAAGGGGACCUCGAGUGCCAGGUUACAAAUCUGGCUGUCGUGAUGCCUAAAAAGCAUUGCAUAGCAAGGGCCGGGCAAGACCGGUGCCAGCCGCCGCGGUAACACCGGCGGCUCGAGUGGUAACCGUUAUUAUUGGGUCUAAAGGGUCUGUAGCCGGCCGGAUAAGUCUCUUGGGAAAUCUGGCAGCUUAACUGUCAGGCUUUCAGGAGAUACUGUCUGGCUCGAGGCCGGGAGAGGUGAGAGGUACUUCAGGGGUAGGGGUGAAAUCUUGUAAUCCUUGAAGGACCACCAGUGGCGAAGGCGUCUCACCAGAACGGACCUGACGGCAAGGGACGAAAGCUAGGGGCACGAACCGGAUUAGAUACCCGGGUAGUCCUAGCCGUAAACGAUACUCGCUAGGUGUCGGCAACGGUGCGACCGUUGUCGGUGCCGUAGGGAAGCCGUGAAGCGAGCCACCUGGGAAGUACGGCCGCAAGGCUGAAACUUAAAGGAAUUGGCGGGGGAGCAC
rnacentral:rRNA from 1 species